UUAAGCGACUAAGCGUACACGGUGGAUGCCCUGGCAGUCAGAGGCGAUGAAGGACGUGCUAAUCUGCGAAAAGCGUCGGUAAGGUGAUAUGAACCGUUACAGCCGGCGAUGUCCGAAUGGGGAAACCCAGUGUGAUUCGUCACACUAUCGUUAACUGAAUACAUAGGUUAACGAGGCGAACCGGGGGAACUGAAACAUCUAAGUACCCCGAGGAAAAGAAAUCAACCGAGAUUCCCCCAGUAGCGGCGAGCGAACGGGGAGCAGCCCAGAGUCUGAAUCAGCUUGUGUGUUAGUGGAACGGUCUGGAAAGUCCGACGGUACAGGGUGAUAGUCCCGUACACCAAAAUGCACAGGNNNNNNNUGUGAACUCGAAGAGUAGGGCGGGACACGUGGUAUCCUGUCUGAAUAUGGGGGGACCAUCCUCCAAGGCUAAAUACUCCUGACUGACCGAUAGUGAACCAGUACCGUGAGGGAAAGGCGAAAAGAACCCCGGCGAGGGGAGUGAAAAAGAACCUGAAACCGUGUACGUACAAGCAGUGGGAGCACCUUCGGGUGUGACUGCGUACCUUUUGUAUAAUGGGUCAGCGACUUAUAUUCUGUAGCAAGGUUAACCGUAUAGGGGAGCCGCAGGGAAACCGAGUCUUAACUGGGCGUUAAGUUGCAGGGUAUAGACCCGAAACCCGGUGAUCUAGCCAUGGGCAGGUUGAAGGUUGGGUAACACUAACUGGAGGACCGAACCGACUAAUGUUGAAAAAUUAGCGGAUGACUUGUGGCUGGGGGUGAAAGGCCAAUCAAACCGGGAGAUAGCUGGUUCUCCCCGAAAGCUAUUUAGGUAGCGCCUCGUGAACUCAUCUUCGGGGGUAGAGCACUGUUUCGGCUAGGGGGUCAUCCCGACUUACCAACCCGAUGCAAACUACGAAUACCGAAGAAUGUUAUCACGGGAGACACACGGCGGGUGCUAACGUCCGUCGUGAAGAGGGAAACAACCCAGACCGCCAGCUAAGGUCCCAAAGUCAUGGUUAAGUGGGAAACGAUGUGGGAAGGCACAGACAGCCAGGAUGUUGGCUUAGAAGCAGCCAUCAUUUAAAGAAAGCGUAAUAGCUCACUGGUCGAGUCGGCCUGCGCGGAAGAUGUAACGGGGCUAAACCAUGCACCGAAGCUGCGGCAGCGACACUAUGUGUUGUUGGGUAGGGGAGCGUUCUGUAAGCCUGCGAAGGUGUGCUGUGAGGCAUGCUGGAGGUAUCAGAAGUGCGAAUGCUGACAUAAGUAACGAUAAAGCGGGUGAAAAGCCCGCUCGCCGGAAGACCAAGGGUUCCUGUCCAACGUUAAUCGGGGCAGGGUGAGUCGACCCCUAAGGCGAGGCCGAAAGGCGUAGUCGAUGGGAAACAGGUUAAUAUUCCUGUACUUGGUGUUACUGCGAAGGGGGGACGGAGAAGGCUAUGUUAGCCGGGCGACGGUUGUCCCGGUUUAAGCAUGUAGGCUGAUUGUCCAGGCAAAUCCGGAUAAUCAAGGCUGAGGUGUGAUGACGAGGCACUACGGUGCUGAAGUAACAAAUGCCCUGCUUCCAGGAAAAGCCUCUAAGCAUCAGGUAACAUUAAAUCGUACCCCAAACCGACACAGGUGGUCAGGUAGAGAAUACCAAGGCGCUUGAGAGAACUCGGGUGAAGGAACUAGGCAAAAUGGUGCCGUAACUUCGGGAGAAGGCACGCUGGUGUGUAGGUGAAGNUGGAGCUGAGACCAGUCGAAGAUACCAGCUGGCUGCAACUGUUUAUUAAAAACACAGCACUGUGCAAACACGAAAGUGGACGUAUACGGUGUGACGCCUGCCCGGUGCCGGAAGGUUAAUUGAUGGGGUUAUCCGUAAGGAGAAGCUCUUGAUCGAAGCCCCGGUAAACGGCGGCCGUAACUAUAACGGUCCUAAGGUAGCGAAAUUCCUUGUCGGGUAAGUUCCGACCUGCACGAAUGGCGUAAUGAUGGCCAGGCUGUCUCCACCCGAGACUCAGUGAAAUUGAACUCGCUGUGAAGAUGCAGUGUACCCGCGGCAAGACGGAAAGACCCCGUGAACCUUUACUAUAGCUUGACACUGAACAUUGAGCCUUGAUGUGUAGGAUAGGUGGGAGGCUUUGAAGCGUGGACGCCAGUCUGCGUGGAGCCAACCUUGAAAUACCACCCUUUAAUGUUUGAUGUUCUAACGUUGGCCCCUUACCGGGGUUGCGGACAGUGUCUGGUGGGUAGUUUGACUGGGGCGGUCUCCUCCCAAAGCGUAACGGAGGAGCACGAAGGUUAGCUAAUCCUGGUCGGACAUCAGGAGGUUAGUGCAAUGGCAUAAGCUAGCUUGACUGCGAGCGUGACGGCGCGAGCAGGUGCGAAAGCAGGUCAUAGUGAUCCGGUGGUUCUGAAUGGAAGGGCCAUCGCUCAACGGAUAAAAGGUACUCCGGGGAUAACAGGCUGAUACCGCCCAAGAGUUCAUAUCGACGGCGGUGUUUGGCACCUCGAUGUCGGCUCAUCACAUCCUGGGGCUGAAGUAGGUCCCAAGGGUAUGGCUGUUCGCCAUUUAAAGUGGUACGCGAGCUGGGUUUAGAACGUCGUGAGACAGUUCGGUCCCUAUCUGCCGUGGGCGCUGGAGAAUUGAGGGGGGCUGCUCCUAGUACGAGAGGACCGGAGUGGACGCAUCACUGGUGUUCGGGUUGUCAUGCCAAUGGCACUGCCCGGUAGCUAAAUGCGGAAGAGAUAAGUGCUGAAAGCAUCUAAGCACGAAACUUGCCCCGAGAUGAGUUCUCCCUGAGACUUUAAGUCUCCUGAAGGAACGUUGAAGACGACGACGUUGAUAGGCCGGGUGUGUAAGCGCAGCGAUGCGUUGAGCUAACCGGUACUAAUGAACCGUGAGGCUUAACCUU
rnacentral:rRNA from 1 species